GGGAACACCCCUUCCGUUUCCGCCAUGAAUCGCCAGAGCCGUGUUUACACUUGAGGUUUUCCACACUGGCGCCCUCCUCCAGCCCCAACCUCACCCACUUUUGAGAACACGAAUCCAAGGGAGGCGCUGAUACAAGUGUCUUGACAGGACUGAUGUGGCCAGCUGUGAUGAGAAGUGACGUAUUUCUAAACUGGACUGCCAGGCUUUUAACAUAAAAACAUCCUUUUGGACCUUGAAAGGCUACUAUCUGAAAGAGGAAACAAAGCAGAGAGUACGAUCAAAUAGCUAAAGUGGGGCAUACCAGGACCACUGGGACAGCCUGACCAUUUUAUGCAAGGGGAAUCUUUCUGACCCAGGGAUCGAACCAAGUCUCCAGCACUGGCAAACGGAUUCUUUACCACUGAGCCACCAGAGAAGCUGCAUACUCCUUUGCUGGAUGCUAACAUGGCAUUCACUCUUUCAAGAGGAGGUGUUACUUUCUGGUAUAUUCCCAGCACAAAGGACGAAGCCACUUGGAACUUUACAAGCUUUGAUGCUGUAUGUAAGUGCGAAGAGGAGACCCUUCUCCUUCCCUACCUCGUGAUCAGUGAACUGACUGGAUUCUGAAAGUCUUCUAACUAUUAAUAAAGGAGUCACUCUAAGUUAACCUCUGGCUCAGAGGUAAAGAAUCUGCCUGCAAUGCAGGAGGUAUGGGUUCGAUCCCUGGGUCAGGAAGAUACCCUGGAGAAGGACCUACUCCAGUAUCCUUGCCUGGAGAAUUCCAUGGACAGAGGAACCUGGCGGGCUACAGUCCAUGGAGCUGGAGUCAGACAUGACUGAGCGACUUUCACUCCACUAUGGAAUUAAAGCCCUAUCCU
ensembl:lncRNA